AUAAAAAGAGUUCCUCUUAGCCUGGGAUUUGCAUUUAUAAGUGGAUAACUGUGCUAAGGUUUACAACUCUUCUAUUUUCAGUGAAUUUAAGGUUCCUUUCCAGCCUAUUCAGAGCUGUAGAGAAAAGGGAAAUAAAUCCAACAAGAAUAUACACGGAAGGUAUCUCCUCAAGGUUUUUCAGCUGAAACCCCACACUAGAAAAACCUGCAGCUUUGGUGUUGACCCAGCCUGGACAGGCAGUUCUGGACAGGAUUCUGCUGAUUUCAGGUUCUGUCCAUUUUGCUGGAUGAAUCCAAAAGGGAAAGGGUCAAACAGCACCUUCUGUGCUCACUCUGGUCUUUGCUUUCUGGUAGGCUUGGCUGGGUGUGAACACUGCCAGAAAAGGCUGGGAUUGAGUUUUUUCCACUUAAAGACUAUUGUAAUUAGGACUUGAGUGGCAGAAAUGCCAUAAAAAUUAUCCUAAACAAAUAAUAAAUACCUGUUUUAACCCCACAUCUACAGCAGGGUGAGUUAGAAGCCCAAUUUUACCUUAAUUCCUUCAGUACUGUGUCUUUAAUUAUUGUGGCCCAGCAUCAUUCCCACAAUAAUUAAUCAGAAUUGGAAAUACAACCCCAAUUCAUCUGCUACAGUGGCUGCCGCUUUUCACUUGUAUUUCAGAGUUUAUACAACAGAACUCUCAUAAUACCUUCAAGGAAAAAAUAAAAAAAAAAAAGAAAGAAAAAGCAGGCAAGAAAUAGAUGUCUUGGUCUUUCAUUUAAAUUUAAUGAGCAAAAGAGUUGCAGUGAAAUUAGAGAUGUGCUGAACUAUCCAGAGGAGAUUCCAAGCCAUUAUUAGCCUGCUCACCCUGCUACUUAUCUUCAAACGCACACACCAGCAGCAGAAAGGAUUUAGGUUACAUUUUAGUAAUCCAAAUCUUGUAGGUACUGGGGUUUAGUGAAACUGGAGCACUCGUUACUAUAAUUUAGCUACAAAAAAAGCAGCAUUUAGUGAAGUAAGAGAUCUGGCUUUACAGCACAAAAGCAAGGGGAGUUUGGGGGCUGUGGCAGCGAGGUUGGAGUGUCAGUCUGGAUUGCCAGCCUCAAAGCUGAAUUUCCGUGGGUUUGGGGAUUUGUCAAGUAUUUAACAGUGUUGAAAUGUAAACUUUUUUUCUUGAUGUUCAAACCUCUGUAAAACAGCCUUUAAAGAAGGGAAAAAAUACAGGAGGAAGAAGCAAAAUCAGCAACACUGGUGUGGCUGUGCUUAGGAGCAAAUCCCUUUCUUGUAUGGCUGAAGUGGGAGCCAGACAUCCCAGUUCCCUCCUAACCAUGGAUGAGGAGAAGCUGGGAUCUUUCAGGGGAACUUUUGCCUCUCUCUGCCUCAGUUUCCUGGACCGGCACCUGCAGAGGCCUCUUUUUCUGGUGGUAAAACUGCAACUGAACUGAAAUGAAGCCAUAUGAACAUUGUGAUAAUGUGGCCUUGGGUGUCUGAAUUUAAUUGAUCAAAACUAAGAACUGUGAUGGAAAAUUUAAUUGGAAAAAUCAUUAUCAGAGAUACAUAAAGUGCAUCUAUUUCUCUACUAAUCUAAAGCCUCUAGUUCUCAUUAAUCCAACUUAUUCUCAUUACAACUCCUCUAUUAAUGGUGCUGUGUGGAAGGAGGAAGCAUCACCGUG